UACGUAGGAGGCGAGCGUUGUCCGGAGUUACUGGGCGUAAAGCGCACGCAGGCGGUCCGCUAAGUCUCAGGUGACAGUCCCCGGCUUAACUGGGGAAGUGUCUGGGAAACUGACGGACUUGAGGGCUUCAGAGGGACAGGGAACUCCGGGUGUAGUGGUGAAAUGCGUAGAGAUCCGGAGGAACCCAGAGGCGAAAGGCGGCGCCUCGUGGCUCAGCCCUGACGCUCAGACACGACAGCAUGGGGAGCGAACGGG
rnacentral:rRNA from 1 species